rnacentral:rRNA from 1 species
AUUGAACGCUGGCGGCAGGCCUAACACAUGCAAGUCGAACGAGUGGCGGACGGGUGAGUAAUGUCUGGGAAACUGCCUGAUGGAUGGGGAUAACUACUGGAAACGGUAGCUAAUACCGCAUACCAUCGGAUGUGCCCAGAGGGGAUUAGCUAGUAGGUGGGGUAAAGGCUCACCAAGGCAACGAUCCCUAGCUGAUCUGAGAGGAUGACCAGCCACACUGGAACUGAGACACGGUCCAGACUCCUACGGGAGGCAGCAGUGGGGAAUAUUGCACAAUGGGCGAAAGCCUGAUGCAGCAAGGCCGCGUGUAUGAGGAAGGCCUUCGGGUUGUAAAGUACUUUCAGUGGGGAGGCGUUACCCACAGAAGAAGCACCGGCUAACUCCGUGCCAGCAGCCGCGGUAAUAC